GGCUUAGAUUAAAAAAAUAACAAAGCCCAAACAAUGUUAUUUGGGCUAGUGUCCAUCGAGAGAAACUUACAAACAGGCAGCCCAUACUAACUAUAGGACAACCCUAAGUACUAAAAGACAAAAAUGAAGGAAAAAACAAGAAACUUUAAACAAAUAACAAUGAAAUUAAAAAACCAAUAAACCUAAUUAAUGCCCCAUCACAUCAGACAGCCUGGCCAGUAUCUGUUUCCAUCGUCGUUUCAUGUCAAAAGCCUCACCAGUUCCAAAGAUAGCUUUUCACCAGAUUUACUAAAUCCAACUAUCAUGACUCCUCUUUUUACCGUUUCAAAAGAUCAGUCCGAAUGCUCCCUCCAUCUUCCUUCCGGAUCAAUUUCACUAUGAUUUCUCCCUUCUCGAACCAGGUAAUCCCCUUCCCUCCUCUGUAAUGCAUCUUUUGCUAUAUUGUGGGCUUGAACAUUUUUCGAUCUGUAAAUAAAUUGAAAGCUCACCUCUGGUAUACUGGUUCUUUUUUUUUGUAUAUCUUGAAUGAUUACUCCCAGAACUGAUUUGUCAACUAUUUCCGAUUGGCAUUUUUUGACAACUGUUCUCGAGUCUCCUUGUAUUAUUACUGAAGAUAAACUCAUUUCAAUUGCUAAUUUGACGGCCUCUAACACUGCAUGAGCUUCUGCUAUAAAUGAGGAGGAGAUAUUUUCAUGGAGAAUCGCCCUUUCAACUAUUCUCUCACCUUGUUGAUCGUGAGCCACUAACCCCGAUGUCGAUCUGAAAUUUGUAUGUAAAAAAAUUGCUUAAACUCCGAAUUCCUUUAUGAUUUAAAAAUAAUCCCAUUAUUACUAUCUAAUCCAAAUUUGAAUUAAAUAUUAUUAAGAAUAAUUAUCAAAAUUAUACAUGAACUUUGGUUCAAUAUAUAAUAUCAUACAUUAAUUUUGAUUUUGUUCGAUUUUAUACAUAAAAUUUUGGUUUGAUUCAAUUUUCAUAAAUUAUUAACAAUCGAAAUAACACGACUUUACAUGGAUAUACUGCAUAUACAAAUAAUUAUAUUAACCCAAUAUGAAAAUAAAUGUAUGCAUCCAUUUCUUUAAAUAUGCACAAUUGAAUCAAAAUCAAAGUUUCAUAUAUACAUAUAAACUACAUGUCAAAUUAUAUAUAUAUAAUUACAUCAAAUCAAAAUUCAUGCAUCAAAAUAUACAUUAAACCAAAAUUCAUAUAUAAAUUUAAUAUUUAUCUAAAUAACAUUAUCCUCAAAAUAUUCAAAUCCACAAAUGAUGAUUGUCCAAUUAAUAUAUCUUUUUGUACAUAUUCAUGCUUGAGUAGUCUGCUUUUAGUAUUUCUAGGAUGCCACUAGUUAUGUUGGAUUUUAUUUGAGAUUAUUUUUGGGUGAAAUAUUUUAUUGUUAUAUUAAAACUAAUAAAAAAUUGAAUAGACAAAAUUUGAUAAAAUAUUCAAAUUGUACUUUGUAUUCAUUUUAAAUUACAUUUCAUUAUGAUUUAAACUGUUAUUUUUAUUAUUAUAUUGAAACAAAAUAAAAAAAAUUAAAUAGAUAAAUUUAAAUAAAUAUUGAAUUAUACUUUAUUACAAUAUUAAAUUAUAUUUUCAUUAUAAUUUAAACUAUUCAAGCUUAUAAAUAAACAAUAUCAUAUUAUUUCUUAAUUAAACAUAAUAAAUAUUAUUAUAUUAAAACUAAAAAAUUUAAUAAAUAUUAAAUUACACUUUUAUAUUCAUGUUGAAUUUAGCAAUUUAAACUAUUAAUUCAAUUCUUAUAUUAACACUAAAUAAAAAUUUUGAAUAGUUGAAAUGUGAUGAAUAUUAAAUAAUAUAAAUUCAUCGAAAUUUAGUUUUUAAUUCUACAAACUGAAAUAAUGAAAGGAUUAAUAUUUGAUGCAUUGAUAGUGUAUAAUUUUAUGCAUCAUCGUCAAUGAAUCAAAUGAUAAUACCUACAAUAUUUAAAAAUAAAUCUAGUUAAUGCAUAAAAAAGAUAAAAAUAAAUUUUAUAUCAAGUUUAAAAACCCUAAAUAAACUCGAACUAAUUUUGAGGGUCAUAGAUGAUUAAAAAAAAAGUUCUUGAAAUAUUGAAUUUUUGCUAAACAUGAAAAGAUUAGAUGAUUGUUCUCAUUGAAAUGUAAAAAAAAUUGACAGAUCAUUUAGCAAAAUUAUUAGCCUUGCAAUCUAGAGUAAAAGUGUAACACCCUUAACCCGUGUCUGCUGCCAGAAUAGGGUUUCGGAGCAUUACUACCAUAUGCAGAUCACUUAAAAAAAUAAAUUUAAAUACUUACCGAUUCAAUGCAUCAUAUAAAUAAAUAUAUUACCAUUCAAUCAACAGUUUGGUACUUGUAUAAGCAUCAAAACAACAACAUUGUUAGUAUACUUGCACAUAUCAUAUAAAUUCAACAUUGAUAUAUCUAUUUUCUUGAUAUAUCGCACUUGAGUUUAAUAAUAGUCUCAUCUUACAUAAUUUUCUUGUAUCAGCAUAUCAAAAAUAAUCAUAUAUGUACAUGUCAUGAAACAUAUCAUGCUCUUACCGUUUCUUCAUAAGCAUAUAUUAUUCAUUUCAUUAUAUCAGUAUUUCAUACUCCAUCAUUUUCAUAUAUUUUAUAUAUAUUUAUUCCGGUAAUAGCUUAUAUCUUAACAUAAAUUAUAUUUCAUGUACUUAUACUUAUUUCGUUUAUCUAUCUUCAUAAUUAUUUCAUACAACUAUUUUGUACAUAUAUUUCUAUAUUACUAGUUCUUGUAAACAUUUCACACAAUCAUUUCAUAUAAUCAUUCGUCAUCUGAUACAUAUUACCUGAAUAUCAAUUGUUCAACAGAUGUCAUAGCGUCUCCCAUUCACGGUCUUAUUUAUCUUUGACAUUAUGCCAUAGUGUCUUUCAACUAUAGUGUUACUCAUUUUCUGUCAUGUUGCCAUGGUAUCUUUUAACCAUGGUCAAGUAUUUAAGAAUAUAAUUCAAGUUAUACAAACUUACCUCAUUGCUUGUUUGUGUUUAUAAUUUCAUUAAUUCGAUAUCUUUUCUUUUCCACGAUCAAGUCUCAUAUUUGAGUCGUCUGGAUCUUUAUAAAUAAAUUUGAUAAUUAUUUUCAUUUAUUUAAUAUUCUAAUACAUUUAAUUAAUACUCUAGGUAAAAUUAUCAUUUUACUCCUAAACUUUUAAUUAAUGACGAUUUCAUCUUUAGAAUCAGGAAAAUAAAAUUCUUGCAAUUUAAUCCUUAUUUCCAGCUAUUAUUCUCAUAUGUAUUGAUAACAAUUCAUGAAUUCUAUAAAAUAUCAGAAAUUUUUAUAAUUUUAACACUUUUCAAUUUAAUCCGCAAAACAUGUUUUCCCUUGAUCUUUAACUAAAUUAAUAAUUUCAUUCAAUUUUGUAAUUUAAAUAAUAAAAUAAUUCAUUUCAUUCAAUUUGGUUAUUUCUGACUUUUUUACAAAAUUUUUCAUAAAGUUUUACUUUUAUUUAAUUUAGUCCCUAAGCCUAAAAUAUACAAAUUAGCCAUACUAGAUGAAUAUUCAUACAUAUUUUUCCUCCUCCUCCUCUACAUUCCACAUCCUUAAUGUACAUAACACACUUGUAAGUAACAUUAUCCAUAAUUUUUAUUAUUUACUUUUAUGAAUUUUCAAGCUGUUUAUCUGCAUCAUAGUCACUAAAUUAUUUAUAUCUGGAGCUAUAGAACUCCAAAUUAAGAUUCGAUAAUUUUUACUAAAACUAGACUAUAUAUAUUCUUACCAUAAAAUUUUCAGAAUUUUUGGUUUAGUCAAUAAGUACGGUUUAUUCUUUAAAUUUACCCCUAUUCUGCUGUCUGAUAGUUCUGGUUCUUCUUCACUAAAAAUUAAUUAUUUCCUCGUACAGAAUUUGAAUGAUGUUAUCGUUUGUUUUUAUUGAAAAUAAACUCAUUCAGGAUUAUAAACAUAUAAAUUUAAGCCCCUAAUUAUUUUUAUCCAAUUUUUUAUGAUUUUACAAAGUCAGAACAGGGGAACCCGAAAUCAUUCUGACUCUAUCUCAAAAAAUUCAUCAUAUCUCAUGAUUUACAAUUAUAUUGCUUACAUAAUUUCUUCUAUAAGAAACUAAAUUUAAUAAGCUUUAAUUUCAUAUUUUAUUCAUCCUAUAAUUAUAUUUUUACAAUUUUUGAUGAUUUUUCAAAAUUAUACUACUGCUACUAUCCAAAACUAUUUUAGUACAAAAUAUUAAUUACCAUGUUAUAACACCCUUAUUUUCUUUUUCUAGACAAUUUUUCAUUACUUUCUCUUAUUUUCUCUUCACUAACAUAUGAAGAACAUAGGACCUUAUGUAAGAAAACUCUAUUAUAACAUUAUUUUCAUGCUUUGUUAAUAAUAACAAACUUAAAAAUAUAUUGAAAUCUUGAUAUACUUACCUUUUUCUAUUGAUACUAAUCUUUAAUUUGAUUUUCUCUCUCCUCCAACUUUUAUUUCUUGAAUCCAACUUGAUAUUCUAACUUCUCAUGGUCUCCUUAACAUUUUUCUCUCUUAGUAGCUAUGGAAAUUCUUUUGAUUUCUAGGUGAAAAUGGUAAAUUUUUGGUGGAAGGACCAAAUUGUAAAAAAAAAAAAUUUCUUUAUUUUCCUUCUCUUCUAACGUUGGUUGCAUGCAUGGAAAGAUGAUGGAAAUUCUUCAUCUUUCCUUCCUUUUAUAUUAAAUAAUUAAUAAAAUAAUAAUAAUGAAAUAAUAAUAAAAUAAUAAAAUAUCUCAUUAAAAUAAUAUAUAUCUAAUUAAAUAAUCAUAAAAUAUCAUCAAAAUCAUCAUUACAUUCUAGAUUUCUCUCUUCCAAUUGAUCAUUUUACCCUUUAUUAUCUUUUAAAAUUUCAUCAUUGAGUAAUUAUUUAAUUUGGUAAAAUUACAAUUUAAUCCUUCAUAGUUCUUCACCUAUUCAAUUUGGUCCUAAUUCAUCCAUUUUUCUUAGUUUCUAGAUCAUUCCACUCUUAAAAUAUUUACACUAUUAGUCUUUCAACUUUUUUAUAUUUACACUUUAACCCCUCAAAUUUUGAGUAUUUACUCUUGUGCAACAAGUCAUUUCUUGAAUUAAUAUAUCAUAAUAUACUUCUCAAUAUUGACAUAACUCAAAAUUUUCCUUUUUGUCACUUUAUUUACUUAUUUUACUAUAUCAAGGAUAAUAUCUUACUAUAAAAAUUUUUAGGGUAUUACAAAAAGGUUGUCUUGAAUAUGUAGGUCUUUUGACACCAGCAAGGACAAAGAACCAAGAACUUCCAAUAAUACAAAAUUACAACAUGGAAAGUGAAAAAACAAUUGGCAAAUGUAAGUUGGUUGAGUACUCAUUAAUACUUUCGGGAAUUGCUAAAAUUCGAGACUCAAGUUACCCCAUUUAGCCUAAAAAAAAAGAGCUAUGGCUAAAACUAUCGAAAUCAUUGGUAUCUUUCUUGCCUACAACCCAAAGAAUGAAUACAAGGGCAAUUUUAUUGCUUGCCUUUGAGGGAAAAACACUAGGGUAAUAUUAGGAAAAAACAGAAGAAGAAAGCCUAAAGUGCUAGCUUUCAUACUUGCAGAGGUUCUCGAAUCCCAUAUAUUCAUUAUGAUGAAUCUUGUCAAUCAUGUUUGAUAUGCCAACGCCACCUACCAAAAUAUAUUUGAGUGAGCUUUGAAUCCAAUGAGUUAGAUAGUACCUUUAAAAGGUAUCAUUCGAAUCCCAACAUUUUCAAUCAUUCCUUUAUCAUUAAACUAUGACUUAUUUGUAAAUCAGGGCUCACCUAGUGAUACUGCGCUAACGAAUAUGGUGAAUGCUAGAAUGAAGAUAAUCAAAGAUGCCCGUCCAAAUACAAUUAUCAGCCUUCUCACGACAUGUUGUCCAACAAAGGCAGCAAAAGUAGCCACAGCAGUGAAGUAGAGAGCUGCCAACAAAAAAAAGUAUGAAAAUAAGUUUAACUCCAGAG
rnacentral:lncRNA from 1 species